rnacentral:rRNA from 1 species
GAUUAACAUUUAUCGAGCGGCGGACGGGUGAGUAACACGUAGGUAACCUACCCAAAAGAGGGGGAUAACAUCUGGAAACAGGUGCUAAUACCGCAUAACAACAUUUAUCGCAUGAUAGAUGUUUGAAAGAUGGUUUCGGGCUAUCACUUUUGGAUGGACCUGCGGCGUAUUAGUUAGUUGGUGAGGUGACGGCUCACCAAGACGAUGAUACGUAGCCGAACUGAGAGGUUGAUCGGCCACACUGGGGACUGAGACACGGCCCAGACUCCUACGGGAGGCAGCAGUAGGGAAUCUUCCACAAUGGACGAAAGUCUGAUGGAGCAACGCCGCGUGAGUGAAGAAGGUUUUCGGAUCGUAAAACUCUGUCGUUGGAGAAGAAUGUAUCUGAUAGUAACUGAUCAGGUAGUGACGGUAUCCAACCAGAAAGCCACGGCUAACUACGUGC